rnacentral:tRNA from 1 species
GCCUGGGUGGCUCAGUCGGUUGAGCACCCGACUUCAGCUCAGGUCAUGAUCUCAUGGUUCAUGAGUUCGAGCCUCACAUCUGGCU